ensembl:lincRNA
GCCUGCCAUAUCUUAAGCAUCUAUGUACUUGCUGCAUGAAAUCUUACAAACUUCACCAGAGUCCAAAAUCAGACAGCUUUUCUAGGUUUUCACUUUCUUUUUCUAAGGAGAACACAGAUUUCUUUCACCAUGAAAAGAAAGGGACCCCAGUCUGGCCCGCAUACACAGAAGCUCUCUUUCUCACAGUAAAUUUUUCCUGCUUCAAAAGAAAGGAAGGGAGGGAGGGAGAAACAGAAAGCAGAAAGAAACAAAGAAAGAGAGAAAGAGAAGAAAGAAGAAAGAAAAGAAAGGGGGCUUGUCGGAAAGAUUCUUCUUAUAAGAGGGGGGCUCGGCCUUUGACCCCAGCAUGUGACCUCACUUCCUUGGCGAUGGGUCCAAACAGAACUUGGAACCCUGCACUCAACUGCCUCCCCGGUCACUUGGCUGAGGACAGUUAGCAGCGAACAUGCUGUGCUGCUUUCCCAGACCUCAAGGCCGCAGGCCCAGGACCCCACGAAAGGAAAGCACUUGGCAACUAGUGAGAGGAUGGUUCACUUGCCCCAGAUGCCUCAGGACACUAUCCAGAAACCGCCCAAACACCAUGGGCAGCACAGGGCAGGUCUCCCCAGACCCAGAUCCCAAGGGCCCAGAGACAAGAGGGAGCCCAGGACGGGUGUCCCCAGGCUCAACCGUUAGCCGCUCGAAGUCACUGAGUCCAGGACAGGUCCAUGGACCGGACACUACUAUGGGAACCCAGUCCGCAGAGAGCCUGGCAGACCUCUGCACAGUGAGCACGGUGCAGGCAGGGCCUUCCCACGCCAUGAUGGAGGCCCUGGAGCAGGACUUCACGGAGAGGAAGAGCAGGUGGGUAUCAGCAGUCCAUGAAUACACAUAAAGAGACACUGGGGGCAGACACUUUUCUAGUUGUUGGCCAUGAUCCUAUAGGCACAGCAGAUGCCAUCACUGCCCUUUUGGUUUGAAGGUUGGGGGCCACAAAGUCCCCCUGGGCAACAGUACAAAUAUUCUGCACACGAAGCAUGAUUUGGUCCUUUCCUGGCCUCCACAGAUAUGGAUAAAAGCAGUGCAACUCUGUCCAGAAAAGAACUAGAUAACAUGGCAACAUAUCGCUGCAUGGGUUAGAGACUCAGCUCUCACUCCUACUUACAGAUGCUACUGACCCCAAUCUUCUCACAUAUUUAUGCAGCAGCCCUGUGCCCUUGAGUGCAAGGACACAGCAGAUCCCAAUCCCCGUCCUCAGGAGCUGAGCUGCCGGUGGGGAGAGGCAGAGGUCAGGCUUCCCUGAAGAAACAGAGGUGUCACAACACAACACAAGGACUACCUCCCACAGAGCUGUCUGUCAGCCUCUCAGGGCUGCCUGGGACUGCACUGUCCCAUUAGGGUCGGCAGAUUGUGGGCCUGGCACUGUACAGAUUGGGCAGGAGGCCCAAGUGUUCCUACCUGCAGGUGCGCUCAGUAGGCAGUGUGCAUUCGAAGGCCUGCUCUCUCACUUUCCCACCUGCCUGUCUUCCCCAGGUGUGCCUCUUCCAUCUUUGACUCCUCACCGGAACUGAUAUCCCAGGUGGAUCCCCAGGAUGACCUUCUCCUGAACC